GUGUCAGCAGCCGCGGUAAUACCGGCGGCUCGAGUGGUGGCCGAUAUUAUUGAGUCUAAAGGGUCCGUAGCCGGCUUUGCAAGUCUCUCGGGAAAUCCAGCGGCUUAACCGUUGGUCGUCCGGGGGGUACUACAUUGCUUGGGACUGGGAGAGGUAGGAGGUACUCAGGGGGUAGGAGUGAAAUCCUGUAAUCCUUUGGGGACCACCGGUGGCGAAGGCGUCCUACCAGAACAGGUCCGACGGUGAGGGACGAAAGCUAGGGGCACGAACCGGAUUAGAUACCCGGGUAGUCCUAGCCGUAAACGAUGCUCGCUAGGUGUCACAACAGUCGUGAACUGUUGUGGUGCCGUAGGGAAGCCGUGAAGCGAGCCACUUGGGAAGUACGACCGCAAGGUUGAA
rnacentral:rRNA from 1 species